rnacentral:rRNA from 1 species
CCUACGGGAGGCAGCAGUAGGGAAUUUUCGUCAAUGGGCGCAAGCCUGAACGAGCAAUGCCGCGUGAACGAGGAAGGUCUUCGGAUCGUAAAGCUCUGUUGAAGGGGAAAAAGAGCGGAGAGAGGAAAUGCUCUCUGAUUGAUAUUAUCCUUCGAGGAAGUCACGGCUAACUACGUGCCAGCAGCCGCGGUAAUACGUAGGUGGCGAGCGUUAUCCGGAUUGAUUGGGCGUAAAGGGUGCGUAGGCGGCCUGCUAAGUCUGGAGUGAAAGGUACCGGCUCAACCGGUACAGGCUCUGGAAACUGGCGGGCUAGAGAGCAGGAGAGGGCGGUGGAACUCCAUGUGUAGCGGUAAAAUGCGUAGAUAUAUGGAAGAACACCAGUGGCGAAGGCGGCCGCCUGGCCUGUUACUGACGCUGAGGCACGAAAGCGUGGGGAGCAAAUAGGAUUAGAUACCCGUGUAGUC